UCCCUGGUGGUGCAGUGGUUAAGACUCUGCACUCCCAAUGCAGGGGCCCAGGUUCAAUCCCUGGUCAGGGAACUGGAUCCUACAUGCAUGUCGCAACCAAGAGUUCACACGCCGCAACUAAGGAGCCCAUGAGCUGCACUAAGACCCGGUGCAACCAAAUAAAUUAAAUAAAUAUUUUU